CUACGGGCGACUGCAGUGGGGAAUCUUGCGCAAUGGGGGAAACCCUGACGCAGCGACGCCGCGUGGAGGAUGAAGGUCUUCGGGUUGUAAACUCCUUUUCUUGGGGAAAAUGGUGAUGGUACCCAAGGAAUAAGCCACGGCUAACUCUGUGCCAGCAGCCGCGGUAAGACAGAGGUGGCGAGCGUUGUCCGGAAUUACUGGGCUUAAAGGGCGAGUAGGCGGUGGAGCAAGUCUGAGGUGGAAUCCUAUGGCUUAACCAUAGAACUGCCUUAGAAACUGUUUUACUUGAGUCAGUGAGGGGAGGGCGGAAUUCCUGGUGUAGCGGUGAAAUGCGUAGAUAUCAGGAGGAAGGCCUGUGGCGAAGGCGGCCCUCUGGCACUGUACUGACGCUGAGGCGCGAGAGCGUGGGGAGCAAACAGGAUUAGAUACCCUCGUAGUC
rnacentral:rRNA from 1 species